CGCUGGCGGCGUGCCUAAUACAUGCAAGUUGAACGCAACAAAGACACCAGAGCUUGCUCUACCGUCUUGUUGAGUAGCGAACGGGUGAGUAACGCGUGGGUAACCUGCCUUAUAGCGGGGGAUAACUAUUGGAAACGAUAGCUAAUACCGCAUAACAAUAGAGAUUGCAUAAUCUUUAUUUGAAAGUGCCAACUGGUACACUAUGAGAUGGACCCGCGUUGUAUUAGCUAGUUGGUAGUGUAAUGGACUACCAAGGCGAUGAUACAUAGCCGACCUGAGAGGGUGAUCGGCCACAUUGGGACUGAGACACGGCCCAAACUCCUACGGGAGGCAGCAGUAGGGAAUCUUCGGCAAUGGACGAAAGUCUGACCGAGCAACGCCGCGUGAGUGAAGAAGGUUUUCGGAUCGUAAAACUCUGUUGUUAGAGAAGAAUGUUGAUUAGAGUGGAAAAUUAAUCAAGUGACGGUAUCUAACCAGAAAGGGACGGCUAACUACGUG
rnacentral:rRNA from 1 species